UACGUAGGGGGCUAGCGUUGUCCGGAAUCAUUGGGCGUAAAGCGCGUGUAGGCGGCCAGGUAAGUCCGUUCUGAAAGCCCGGGGCUCAACCCCGGGAGGCGGAUGGAUACUGCUUGGCUCGAGUCCGGAAGAGGCGAGUGGAAUUCCCGGUGUAGCGGUGAAAUGCGCAGAUAUCGGGAGGAACACCAAUGGCGAAGGCAGCUCGCUGGGACGGUACUGACGCUGAGGCGCGAAAGCGUGGGGAGCAACAGG
rnacentral:rRNA from 1 species